UACGUAGGGUGCAAGCGUUACUCGGAUUUAUUGGGCGUAAAGCGCAUGUAGGUUGUUUCGUAAGUCUGAUGUGAAAUCCCUGGACUCAAUUCAGGAACUGCAUUGGAUACUGCGAGACUAGAGUAUGGGAGAGGUAGGCGGAAUUCCUGGUGUAGAGGUGAAAUUCGUAGAUAUCAGGAGGAACAACAGAGGCGAAGGCGGCUUACUGGACCAUAACUGACACUCAGAUGAGACAGUGUGGGGAGCAAACAGG
rnacentral:rRNA from 1 species